GGACUUAUAGCUCAGUUGGUAGAGCUUCCGGCUCAUAACCGGACGGUCGGGGGUUCGAUUCCCUCUGGGUCCACCA
rnacentral:tRNA from 1 species